UUCAAUUGAUUCAUAUUGUUUGUUACGCCAAACAAUGUUAAUACGAACUCCAAAUAUCUCACGUACAUUUCAACUGAAGCGACAUAUUUACCACCUUCGGGAGUAGCAUCACCCACUUCUGCUUUUACACCUAUGACUAUCUCCACCGAAGACGCCCAUUUAACUCUAGCAGAACCAUUUGUACCAGGCAGAACAUCUACUUGUCCAGAAAGCGGACGAAGCUGGUCUAUCGAACGUCCAUCAUUCCGAAUUGCAGGCUCAAAUUCUGUUAUUGAUUUGUGUGUGUACGAUAGUUCUGGUAAUGACAAUUGCAUAUGUUGGCUAAUGGUAUAUCGUUUAAGAAUAAUUUUCCUU